rnacentral:lncRNA from 1 species
UUACUUAACAAAAAAAAUCAAUCCAUAUCUACAAAAGAAUGAGUCUCCAAACCAGAUCUUGUUAAUGUUUAUUGACAAAAAUGUUAAGUGGGACAACUUUUCGUACCGAAAUGGAGAUGGGUUUUUGGGUUUCAUGUGGAAUUGUGCGAGGGGAUAGUAAUGGUGGUGGGUGAUGAAGAAAUGGAGGAAAAGAGGAGUAGAGAGAAAGAAAAAAGAAAAC